UACGAAGGGUGCAAGCGUUGUUCGGAAUUACUGGGCGUAAAGCGCUCGUAGGCGGAUUCGUAAGUCAAUUGUGAAAGCCCUGGGCUCAACCCGGGAAUUGCAGUUGAAACUGCGAACCUUGAAUACUUGAGAGGGUGACUAAAUUCCUGGUGUAGAAGUGAAAUUCGUAGAUAUCAGGAGGAAAACCAGAGGCGAAAGCGGUUGCCUGGCAAUGUAUUGACGCUGAGGAGCGAAAGCGUGGGGAGCAAACAGG
rnacentral:rRNA from 1 species